rnacentral:rRNA from 1 species
AUGGCGAGUGGCGAACGGGUGAGUAAUACAUCGGAACGUGCCCUGUAGUGGGGGAUAACUAGUCGAAAGAUUAGCUAAUACCGCAUACGACCUGAGGGUGAAAGUGGGGGACCGCAAGGCCUCAUGCUAUAGGAGCGGCCGAUGUCUGAUUAGCUAGCUGGUGAGGUAAAGGCUCACCAAGGCGACGAUCUGUAGCGGGUCUGAGAGGAUGAUCCGCCACACUGGGACUGAGACACGGCCCAGACUCCUACGGGAGGCAGCAGUGGGGAAUAUUGGACAAUGGGCGAAAGCCUGAUCCAGCCAUGCCGCGUGUGUGAAGAAGGCCUUUUGGUUGUAAAGCACUUUAAGCGAGGAGGAGGCUACUGAGAUUAAUACUCUUGGAUAGUGGACGUUACUCGCAGAAUAAGCACCGGCUAACUCUGUGCCAGCAGCCGCGGUAAUACAGAGGGUGCGAGCGUUAAUCGGAUUUACUGGGCGUAAAGCGUGCGUAGGCGGCUUUUUAAGUCGGAUGUGAAAUCCCUGAGCUUAACUUAGGAAUUGCAUUCGAUACUGGGAAGCUAGAGUAUGGGAGAGGAUGGUAGAAUUCCAGGUGUAGCGGUGAAAUGCGUAGAGAUCUGGAGGAAUACCGAUGGCGAAGGCAGCCAUCUGGCCUAAUACUGACGCUGAGGUACGAAAGCAUGGGGAGCAAACAGGAUUAGAUACCCUGGUAGUCCAUGCCGUAAACGAUGUCUACUAGCCGGUGGGGCCUUUGAGGCUUUAGUGGCGCAGCUAACGCGAUAAGUAGACCGCCUGGGGAGUACGGUCGCAAGACUAAAACUCAAGUGAAUUGACGGGGGCCCGCACAAGCGGUGGAGCAUGUGGUUUAAUUCGAUGCAACGCGAAGAACCUUACCUGGUCUUGACAUAGUAAGAACUUUCCAGAGAUGGAUUGGUGCCUUCGGGAACUUACAUACAGGUGCUGCAUGGCUGUCGUCAGCUCGUGUCGUGAGAUGUUGGGUUAAGUCCCGCAACGAGCGCAACCCUUUUCCUUAUUUGCCAGCGGGUUAAGCCGGGAACUUUAAGGAUACUGCCAGUGACAAACUGGAGGAAGGCGGGGACGACGUCAAGUCAUCAUGGCCCUUACGACCAGGGCUACACACGUGCUACAAUGGUCGGUACAAAGGGUUGCUACCUAGCGAUAGGAUGCUAAUCUCAAAAAGCCGAUCGUAGUCCGGAUUGGAGUCUGCAACUCGACUCCAUGAAGUCG